GCUAAGUCUCAACUCUCAAGUUAAUUGGUGCCAUGCUGAAAAAGGAGCAAAGAGGAUUCUGCAGCACAUCACAAUCGCAGCCUAGAUGAUAAGUGAUAUGAAUUACUAUAGAAUUCUGGAAGGCAAACAAAACACAUGAUUUGCUGAAAACUAAACAGUCACCUGGGUCUUGGCUGCUUGCUCCUCAUACAUACUAUGGACAUUGUACUUAGCUACUCAGGCCCCAUGAAAAUGUGUGAUUGCAAACUGAUGUAAACAUUUGUAUAACCAGAAGACUAAUAUGCAUGUUUCUUCUGCUUCAGUUUUUUCCAAAGUUAAAAUGUAACUGGAUUUGGGAUAAGUGGAGCUAAUAAGUGAGAUACCUGGAUUUGUGCUUGGCAAUGGUUUCUGUUUUAAGCAAAUAGAUUCUGCAGAAAAGCAUACAGAUGACAUAAUCAUUUUGCGAAUUAGCCUCUAGAAUAUCCAAUUAAACAGUCCUGAAUUCUCUCUAUUUGUCACGUGCUGGCACAUCACAAGCAAGUCACAAAUCUCUCUUGGCCAUUAUAUUUCACUGGAGAUAUGAUUCCCUUUAGAUUUUGCUCGCUUUACUCGUAUGCUGCAGGGCCUGAUAUGAUUACAGCCAUUGCCAGAGCUGGCGGUGCCAUUUCCUUUUACAGGCAUCACCUGCAUAAUGAGGCCAAGCUAACUUUAGCUAAGCCAUCUUAUUUGACAAAAAUUUUGACCCUGUUAAAUACUUGUUUUUAUUAAAACAUGCAUUUUAUCACAUGCAUCAGAAGCAUAUCACUGGAAUUAUGGCCUGGUAAAGGAAGGAUCAGAUUACUGCAUUGCAAUUCACUCAUAUACAGAAAAAUUGGCAAAAAAAAAGAAGCAUCAUCUAAGGAAAUAAGAAUUUAUAAUAAUAGGAAAGCAAAUGGUAAAUGAGAAAAAUAAUUUAUUUUCUCAUCGAUAAAAAUAAAGCAUAGAUCUGUACAACAAACAAACGAACACAGCAGAGACUGCUUCUUAGUUCUUACUACCCUCUCUUCUUCGACUCUGAGCAAACUCCUAUUCACCAAUUAUCAUGAACUCCAAAAAAGAAUUCCAAAAAUUUCUUAGAAGAUAGGGGGAAAAAAAAAAAAACAAAAUCUCUGCUGCUUAAACGUGGCAAUCCCUCAUUCUGAAUCACUCUCCAUACUUCCCAUAGCCUUCAAUCCUCUUGGUCUCUGAACCAAAAUUAUGCCAAUAAAAAGGCAUCAAAAAAGAGAAACUAAAAGAUAGAACAUUAAUUUUAAAAAGAUAUAUAUUAAUGAUAAUUCGGAUCCAAAGGAGAAUCAAAUUGAAUACCUUCUUAGAACUCUUCUUCUCUCUCACUUCGUACCUCUCUUGGCACAUGUCAGUCAACCAUGCCCCAGGGCUCACCAACUGUCACCCACCAAAAAAUCCAAAACACAAAAACAAAAAAAAAAAGAAAAAGGAGAGGGUUAAAAUUACACGAUUGUGUUCAUAUGUAUAAAUAAUUUACCGAGGCAUUAUUAAUUUAUUAUUGCUAUUUUCUCCUUUUUUUAAUAAUUUUUUUGAUGUUUAUUAAUUUAUCAUAUGUUUCUCGUGCCAAAUGAAAUGGUUACAGCUCAUAUUAUGCAAGUGGAUUUUGCUAUGAUCGAGCUUAACUGGCUCGGC
rnacentral:misc_RNA from 1 species